GCGGGGUUAGUACAUCGGUAGUAUGUCAGCUUCCCAAGCUGAAGAGGCGGGUUCGAUUCCCGUACCCCGCUCCA
rnacentral:tRNA from 1 species